rnacentral:ncRNA from 1 species
CUUAUCAAGAGUGGUGGAGGGAAUGGGCCCUAUGAAACCCGGCAACCUGUAACUAAGUAUAAAAGCUUACGACGGUGCUAAAUCCCACAGAAUUAAAUUCUGAAAGAUGAGG